GACCUAACCCCUGCGAUCUAAAAGUCCCAGGAUAUGGUCCAAAAACCCCGCUAGAGAACAAAGGACUCCUCGUCAGAGUCACUCUAGCGGGUCAUACCUGGAAACGGGGAUGGGUGGAGCCGAAAGGUUCCAUC
rnacentral:sRNA from 12 species